CUUACCCAGCUCAAGGUCACAUAAACCCAAUGCUUAAACUAGCCAAACUACUCCAUACCAAAGGUUUCUACAUUACGUUUGUCCAUACAGAGCACAAUCAGAGACGCUUGCUACACUCUAGAGGCUCUAACUCCCUCGCCGGCUUGCCUGACUUCGUUUUCGAAACUAUUACAGACGGUCUUCCUCCGGCUACUGAUGUUGAUUCUAAUCAAGAUAUUGAAUCUCUUAAUAAAUCUGUUUCAAGAAACUGCUCAGCUCCAUUUCGGCAACUUCUUGCAAAACUCAAAGAAUCCUCCAAUGUUCCACCAGUCACUUGUAUAGUAUCUGAUGGUAUUAUGACUUUCACUCUUGAUGCUGCUCGUGAAAUUGAAGUUCCUGGAAUCUUGUUUUGGUCUACAAGUGCUUGUGGUUUGUUAGGCUAUGCAUAUUGUUGGCAUCUUAUUCAAAGACGCUUAAUACCACUCGAAGGUACUUACUACUAAGAAGUUAUUAUGUUAAAAUCUUGUUGCCAAAAAUUUUAAAAAAUUUUAUUAACAGGAUAAGUCUGAUUUUGAUUUACAGAUAGUAGCUGUUUAACAAAUGGAUAUCUAGAGACAACUGUGGACUCAGUUCCAGGUAUGGAAGGAAUACGUUUAAAGGACUUUCCAGCUUUGAUUCGUACAACAGAUGGAAAUGAUUUCUUUCUGAACUUUGCAAUUAGAGAAGUAGAAGGAGCCUCAAAAGCUUCAGCUAUUAUUCUCAAUACAUUUGAUGAUUUAGAGCGUCAAGUUUUAGUUUCUCUCUCAUCUGUUUUUACCCCUCCAAUUUACACCAUUGGUCCUCUCGACUUACUUCUUGAUAAAAUUGCUCCAAGAAAUAACCUAACCUCCAAUAUUGGUUCCAAUUUAUGGAAAGAAGAUCAUGAGAGCCUUCAAUGGCUUAAUUCGAAGAAACCCGAUUCAGUACUUUAUGUAAAUUUUGGCAGCAUGAUUAACUUGACACCGCAAGAACUUGUAGAAUUUGCAUGGGGACUUGCUAAUAGCAAGAAAGACUUCCUGUGGAUAAUCAGGCCUGAUCUUGUCAAUGACAAAUCCGUAGUUCUGCCACAAGAUUUUCUUCUUGAGGUUAAAGAAAGAGGUUUAAUUGCAAGUUGGUGUCCACAAGAGGAAAUCCUGAAGCACCCAUCGAUUGGAGGGUUUUUAAGUCAUAUGGGUUGGAAUUCAACUAUAGAAAGCUUGUCAAGUGGCGUUGCAAUGGUUUGUUGGCCUUUUCUCGGCGAGCAACCAACAAAUUGUUGGUUUGCUUGCAACGAAUGGGGGAUCGGUACAGAGAUGGACAGCAGUGUGAAGAGAGAUGAAAUAGAGAAGGUCGUUAGGGUCUUAAUGGAGGGAGAAAAGGGGAAAGAAAUGAAGAAGAAAGCAGCCGAGUGGAAAAGAAAGGCUGAAGAAGCCAUUGCCCCUGAUGGUAAAUCAGUUUUGAAUUUGGAUAGAUUGGUCAAUGAGGUGCUAUUGUCAAAAACUGCAUAGAAAUGAAAAAAAAAAAAUUGUUUUCUUUAUGAAUCAAUUAGGCCAUUUAGUUAAUUAAUAAAUUGUAUCUGAAUUAGUUUUCUUUUUUGAAAAAUAUUGAGGUUGAGCUUAAUAUUAUUCAUUGCCAAGUUGUGAGGAUUUUAUCUAAUAGAUUAAUAUGCUCUGUUUCAGUAUUGUGUGAUUAAUGAUUAUUUACAAAUCACUUGUUACACUUUAGUUUUAGACAUAUUUUUACAAAUCUUUUUUUUUUUUAAGAAAAAUCUAAUGAUACUCUAAACUUUUAUUCACUUAGCCCAACACUUCUAACUUAAAAGUAUACCUAUUAAAUUCUUUUAAUUUGUAAAUUCAUUAUAUAUAUUAAAAACUCCAAUUGAUAACUUAGACUAGUUAAACGCUUAUUAAAUACUACCUCCUUCCCGUUUUGUUUGCAUGGUUUGACAAAAUACGCAUAUUAAGCAUUUAGUCAAUAAAAGUUAUUUUGCCGUUCUUCACUCUUAAUAACUCAUUAAAAUACUAAAAAUCUUUCGUUCAAUGAACAAUUAUAAAGAUUAUUAUGGAAAAAAUAAUUGUUUAACCCUUAAUAACCAUUUUGUUUAACCAUUGCAAACAUUUCGGAACAUCCACAAAAGGAAUAACAAGCAAACAAAAUGGGACAAAAGGAGUAGUUUAAAAUGUGAAUCACUAUUUGAAAAGUCGCACUAACCACAUAUCAAAUCAAUAUUUUCACGGAACAAACAAGAAUCUUAAAAUUAUAGUAGUAAAAAUUGUGUAAAUGUUAAUUAGAGAGCUCAAUAAGUCUUCGUCAAAAUUCAAGGUGCCAUUAAAUAAAGUUAUAAAAAUAAAGAGCAUAUUUAUGUAUUUGGACUAUGUUAAUGUUCUUAAAAUAGUUGUCACAUUUGUAUGACAGUUAUAUUUGUGUCUGUAUAUAAGCAUUCUUUUUUUAAGUUUAUACAAUUGUUUCCAUGCUCUAGGCGAAUUCAAGUAAAGCCUUAAAAAUGGUGAUGACUCUAAAGUUUUGAAUCACUAACCUUUCAUGUUAAAUUUGCUUGAAACCAAUAUGUAGUUCACUACCCAAUUGCCUGUUUACUAGGAGAUCUUUUUUUCAAAAUUUAAUUAAUUUUGCAAAAGUUUAGGAAUUAAUUAGGUUCUAAAUGGUUGAAUUUCAUAAUUAGGAUUAAAUAAUUCUUCCUCAAAUGAAAUUGAUUACAAGAGUAACAAUACUUAUUGCACCAACAAACAUCAUCCAUCCAGUGAGUCUUAAACUCUAUCCUACCAUUAGAAUUUUUUUCUACUCAGUUGAUUGUUUAGAAGAAACCCAACAAAUUCAUCAAAGUUUCUGCGAGAAGAACCACCUGGUCCUGUAGCCUCCUCUGCCUUACUUUUCCACUCUAUUGCUUUCUUUUUCAUUUCCUUGCCUUUCUUUCCGUCCAUCAACUCUCUUACAAGCUUCUCCACUUCUUCUCUCUUUACGUUGUUAUCUAUUUCCAUUCCAACACCCCAUUUAUUACAAGCAAACCAACAAUUUGUCUGUUGCUCAGCGAAAAAAGGCCAACAAACCAUUGGAACACAUCCACACAUACUAUCCAAUGUUGAAUUCCACCCCAUAUGACUUAAAAAUCCUCCAAUUGAAGGAUGCUUCAAGAUUUGUUCUUGUGGACACCAACUAGCUAACAUGCCUCUUUCUUUAGUUUCCGAUACAAAUUCUGGUGGCAACAUUGCUUUGUCGCCGACCACAAGAUCCGGCCUUAUUAUCCACAAGAAUGGUUUCUUGCUAUUUGCAAGCCCCCAUGCAAAUUCUAUCAUUUGUUGAGGAGUUAUCACAGUUAUGCUUCCAAAAUUGACAUAAACGACAGCGUUUUCUUCAUUUGAAUCAAGCCAUUCUAUACAUUCAGGUUGUUCUUUCCAGAGAUUUGAGCCUAAAUUUUUCAAGCUGCUACUUGAUGGAAUUUGUUCAACAAGAAGCUGGAGUGGACCAAUAGUGUAAAUUGGAGGAAACAUUGUGGAGAGAAUAUCUAGAACGUCUUGCUCAAAUGCGUCGAAUGUGUUCAAAAUGACAGCACAAGCUCUUGUCGUUCUCUCUAUUUCCCUGACGAGGAAGUUGAGCAUAAUGUCUUUUUUGUCUGUUGUUCUAAUAAAGCUUGGAAGAUCUUUUAAUCUAAUGUUUUUCAUGCCUGGAAUCCAAUCUAUAGUUGUUUCCAAGUACCCAUUUGUUAGAUAGCUUGCAUCUGCAAUAUUUUACAAAACCAAGCAAGACAGAAAAUAUUUGAGUAAUUAAACAUUUUUAACAGAAGAAAAUAGAUAAAGAUAUAAAGAAUCAAACCUUUGAGGGGUGUUAAGCCUCUUUCAAUAAGAUGACAAUAUUGUGAAUAGCCCAGAACACCACAAGAGCUAGGAGUCCAAAAAAGUACUUGAGGAAUUCCAAAUUCUUGAGCAGCAUCAAGAGUGAAGCUCAUGCAAGCAUCAGAAAUGAUACAAGUAACAGGAGGCAAAUUACUACUAGAAGACCCAAGACUAGAAAGAAGAUUACAGAAAGGUAUCAAGGAGUGUUUAGAAGUAGAAUCACAAAGAGAAGGGAUAUCUUGUGUUGCAUCAGCAUCAGAUGCUGGUAGACCAUCAGAAAUAGUCUCAAAGUGGAAAUCUUGGAACCCGUCAAGUGAAUUAGGGCCCCUUGAUUUGAGUAAACGUCUGUGAUUAUAUUCUGUGUUAACGAAGGUUAUGUGGAAGCCAUUGAAGUGGAGGAGUUUUGCUAGCUUAAACAUUGGGUUUACAUGUCCUUGAGCUGGAUAGGGGACACAUACAACAUGAAGUUUGGUAUCUCUUGCAAUGCUACCCAUUUGUGAGCGUUAAUUUUUAUUAGGAAUGGUCUGCCCCUACUUGGGCUUUAUAACAAUAGGGAUGUCUGAUUCACUAAACUGAUAGUUUUGGUUGAGUGAACCAAUGGGUUUUUAGCCUUUUAAAAUCGGAAUUGAAACCAAUCUUAUUGAUUUUGAAAUUACCGGUUUUGAUCUAAUUUGAAUGAGUUUUUUGGAAUCCAUAAACACUAGCAGCCACAUCAAGAGUAAUAAUUUGGAUUAUUAUGAAAAUAAUAGAGGAAAGACAAAAAUAAGUGUGUCCAUUUGGCUUCGGACAAAGGUGGCCGAAUAUAGCAGGACACAACACUACUUUACUAUUAUGUCAACGUUAGAUGAACAGCUCAAAUGCUAGGCUUGCUUUUAAAACUAUAAUAAUCAAUUUCUAUCUUCAGACGUCACUGCUUACCCAUGAUGGUCAGAUCCAUUCGAAGUAUCCAUGAAUUUUAUUUUUUAAGAAAAGUAUCCAAAAAAGAGCUCAAUUAUUGUUUCUUAAUUUUAUUUUUUUCAAUUUUAAUAAUAUUUCGCAUGUUACAAUAUAAAGAUUCCCCAAUGCAUAAAUUUUAGGACUUUAAUCUAACAGCAUUCUUAACUUUAACAAGUUAUUAUUAUUGGACUUUAUUAUUAUUAUUAUUAUAUUUGUACAAUAGAAAGAUAAGAAAAAACAAAACAAAGAGAAAAAAUUGAUUCAGGAGCUGUACAGUUACAAAGGGUCAAUUUAAAAUGGACCAAAUGAAACAAUUGGCCAUGAAAUCUUUUUCUUCUUUUUUUAAAAUAUUUUAAGCCAGUAUAGAACAGAAAAGAAAAUAGAGAACAGAAAUAAUAAUAAAAAAAAAAAAAUGAAAGCAUAUGAAAUGGGCCCUCAUAACAAGAAUCCUUGGGCUUGGUCCAUUCACAGUAGAUGAAUGUUGGGCCAUUAUCCCAUUCAUACCUCCAGAUCAGAUUCAAAAUCAAUUAAAAUAGUAAACAUGAUGCUACAUUUUCUCAAAUUAUAAAUUACCGAAUUUUAGUAAAUAUAUGGACAAUAUAAUUACAUAGUAUAUCAAAAUGCUUGGUUAGUGUUUAAUUGCUCCCAUCACUCACAAAGAUAAACAAAAAGAUGGAAAUUCCUGGGAUAACCGACAAGUCCCAUGUAGUGUGCAUCCCUUACACAGCUCAAGAUCACAUAAACCCAAUGCUUAAAUUAGCAAAACUACUCCAUACAAAAGGUUUCUACAUUACCUUUGUCCAUACAGAGUACAAUCAGAGACGCUUGCUACACUCUAGAGGCCCUGACUCCCUCCCGGCUUGCCUGAUUUUGUUUUCGAAACUAUUACAGACGGUCUUCCCCUGGCAACUGAUGUUGGUUCUAGUCUAGAUCCUGAAUCUAUUUGUAAAUCUACUUCAACAAAAUGCCUAGCUUCAUUUCUUGAACUUCUUGCAAAACUCAAUGCAUCCUCCAAUGUUCCACCAGUCACUUGUAUUGUCUCUGAUGGUAUUAUGACUUUUACUCUUGAUGCUGCUCAAGAAAUUGGAGUUCCUGGAGUCUUGUUUUGGAAUACAGUGCUUGUGGUUUCUCAGGCUAUGCACAUUCUACGCAUCUUAUUCAAAAAGGCUUAAUACCACUCAAAGCUGCGUACUAAAAGAAAGGCUGAAGAGGCUAUAGCUCCCAAUGGUAAAUCAUUUUGAGUUUGGAUAGAUUGGUCAAUGAGGUGUUAUAUCACAAAAUGCUAAGAAACGAAAGAUUGUUUUUCUAUGAAUUAAUUAUGUUAUUUAGCUAGUCUUUUUUCUUGAAACGAUAUCAUUUUAGUCAAUAAAUAAAAUGUAUUUAAAUUAGUUUCCUUCUAAAAAUUUUGAUAUGAAGUUUAUUAUUCAUUUUGAAUUUGUGAGGAUUAAAUUUUUUAAUUUCCUAAUCAAAUGAAAAAUCUUAGGAAAAAAAAUUAAGGAAAAGAAAUGACAACACCUAAAAAGAUAAUCUUGUUUGAAAGGUAAGAAAAGAUUUUUGCCUCCAACAAGACGCAAAUGUUGAAUUUUUA
rnacentral:lncRNA from 1 species